GAUCUCAACCCUUGAAUAGGGCUCAAUGAGCCUGCAUAGGUUCUGCUCCAAGAGUGUGUCAUACAGCGAGGAGAGAUGUCGGUGGACGAUCGGGUCGUCCUCCAGCUGCGACCUGUAGUCCCGCAGAGCCGUCUCGAAGAAUUUAAGCGACCUUUUCGAGUGAGCAUCCGCAACAGCUUUCAUGGCGUCCAGCUCCGGCCCCAGAUACUGCAGCCCUGCCUUCGAAGAGAUAAUCCCAGCAACAUCAUCAGCCUGGCUCACCAUUAUCUUGCACAGCAGCAUGUACUUCAGACUAAACACAGCACGGGGAUCCUCGAGUGCGUUAAAGGCCUCAAAUGCCUCAUAGAAGUAGCUGUAAGCAGUCUUGUAGUCUUUUUCUUCGGCGUGCAGAAUCCCGCUCUGGAGGUCGAUGGUGCCCUGCUGUGCUGGGGGUACGUAGAUGGCGUUUGCAGCGGUUCUUGCUGCGGUGAGUGCGGCUUUCGCCUUCGGGAGGUUCUUUAGAGAGAAGUGAAGCUUGCUCUCGAGCAGAUCGAUGUCCACCAGCAGUAAUUUGUCGUCUAACCUUCUGACCUCUUUCACGAGGUUUGUGAGUAUGGCUAGGGCUUCAGUAUACUCCUUGCUUUCCAUGAGAAGUGCGGCGAGUCUUGCCUCGACUCGUUGUCGGAGAAAUGUACGCUUCUCGGCCCGGGUCCACUCGACCA
rnacentral:misc_RNA from 1 species